UGGAGGAGGAAGCAGUGGUGGAGGAGGAGGAUAAGGUAGCCGACACUGUUUUUUAUGUUUUUUUUUUUUUUUAUUGGGACAUAAUAUUGGGACAAAAUAUUGGGACAUAUAAACAAAAACAACUCUGUUCUGCAGAGUAGCUGUUGACAUUAUAGUUGUGCAGGAACUUUAUUGGCUCUAGAGAACCUCGGGCAAAUCGCACAUUCCCGUGGCGGCGACUUUGCAUGCGGAUGCCAUCCACAUCAACUUUCGAUGCCAGUUUCUGGGCAUACCAUGGUGACCUCGGGUAACAGGGAAUCAGACUUCCAUUCCAUACAGGGACCCUGAGAAAUGGCUACCACAUGCAAGGAAAGCAGCAUGCGUGCAAAUGACCCACUCCCGAUGCGGGAAGGUAGUGAUGA